GAGAGUAUGUAAUUACCCUCUUCAUUUGCCCAUUGCUUACAGUGUAGAGUCUGUAGACAAAAAAUUGAAAUAUGCACUAUUUUAGCUUGUUGCCGUUCAAACCCCAAAAACCCAGCAAAAUUAACUAUUCAAACCCCAAUCAAUUCGACCUCAUAACCCAAAAAAUUCAACUCGCAACCGAAAUCCCCAGCAAUUUUGACCCCAAUCCUCCCUAACUCGAGCAAUCCGAGAAGAAAUUCCCCAUUCUCGAGCAAAAAUCAAAACCAAAACCCCCAGAAAUUUCAAACCCGUUCAAAACCCCAAAACCCCAGCAAUUUUCGACCCCAAUCCAACAACUUCGACUCCCAAAACCCAACAAAUUCGAUCAACAACUGAAAACCCCCAUUUCUCUCUCUUCCUCUCUCAUCUGCUCACUUUCUCCAUCACUCUACCUCCGCCACCGUUGUCGUCGCUCAUGUCGCCAGAUUCAUUGAACUCCGGCGCCGAUUCCUAUACAUAACACGCUCAUAUUCUUCAAGCACAAGAGGAGACUAAUCUCCAUUUUUCAUGCGUUGCUCUGCUCUUCUAUUUGGAUCAAAUUAGUUUAAAUAUUCGUUUCCUCUUCUUUCUGUUUCUAACAUGGUUCUUUAUUGGACUAAGAAAAAUAUAUAUUACAUAUUAUGCUUCUAUAUAUAUUGUUUAAUGCUGAAAAAAGGUGCAGAUGGGCUAGUUCAUACCUUUGACAGGUUGAAUGCUCUGCUACUUACUCUAUGGGAUCAGAAUUCUGAAUUCUGCCAUAUUUUGUCUUUCUUUAACUUUGCUCUCUUUUGCUACUCUAUCUUUUUUAUUGCUUGUUCAGCUUCAAAAUAUACAAUAUGCAUGUGAACUGAUAUUCCAUCUUUUCUUUCAUAUUGUAAUCUAUAUUAAAUAUUCGCUCUCUGUUAGGGUUUUAUUUUUUGUUAAACUCUCUGUUAGGUGAAUAACUAAGUUUUGUUAGGUGAAUAACUAAGUUUCAUUACUGACUCCCAAUCAGCUUAUAUAGCAAAGAAGCACCUCAGGAACGUCGACAAGACCUGUUGCUGAUACAUUGAAGCCAUUUAUGUUGUUGCUGCUGCUAUUGUUAAAUGUUCUUAUUAAUGCUAAUCCCAACUUUGUACAAUUAAAAUACUUUCUGUUGGGUUAAAAUUGUAAUAUUUAUUACAAUAAUUAUUAUUGAAAAUAUUUAAGUUAAUAUACGUAUGUGUAUCUGUUUCAAUUUAGAGGG